CCCGGGGGGGAUACCUUAGUACGGCGAGUGAAGCGGUAAAAGCUCAAAUUUGAAAUCUGGUACUUUCAGUGCCCGAGUUGUAAUUUGUAGAAUUUGUCUUUGAUUAGGUCCUUGUCUAUGUUCCUUGGAACAGGACGUCAUAGAGGGUGAGAAUCCCGUUUGGCGAGGAUACCUUUUCUCUGUAAGACUUUUUCGAAGAGUCGAGUUGUUUGGGAAUGCAGCUCAAAGUGGGUGGUAAAUUCCAUCUAAAGCUAAAUAUUGGCGAGAGACCGAUAGCGAACAAGUACAGUGAUGGAAAGAUGAAAAGAACUUUGAAAAGAGAGUGAAAAAGUACGUGAAAUUGUUGAAAGGGAAGGGCAUUUGAUCAGACAUGGUGUUUUUUGCAUGCACUCGCCUCUCGUGGGCUUGGGCCUCUCAAAAAUUUCACUGGGCCAACAUCAAUUCUGGCAGCAGGAUAAAUCAUUAAGAAUGUAGCUACUUCGGUAGUGUUAUAGCUUUUUGGAAUACUGUUAGCCGGGAUUGAGGACUGCGCUUCGGCAAGGAUGUUGGCAUAAUGGUUAAAUGCCGCCCGUCUUGAACCCCCGGACCA
rnacentral:rRNA from 1 species